rnacentral:rRNA from 1 species
CCUACGGGAGGCAGCAGUGGGGAAUAUUGCACAAUGGGCGCAAGCCUGAUGCAGCCAUGCCGCGUGUGUGAAGAAGGCCUUCGGGUUGUAAAGCACUUUCAGCGGGGAGGAAGGCGGUGAGGUUAAUAACCUCAUCGAUUGACGUUACCCGCAGAAGAAGCACCGGCUAACUCCGUGCCAGCAGCCGCGGUAAUACGGAGGGUGCAAGCGUUAAUCGGAAUUACUGGGCGUAAAGCGCACGCAGGCGGUCUGUCAAGUCGGAUGUGAAAUCCCCGGGCUCAACCUGGGAACUGCAUUCGAAACUGGCAGGCUAGAGUCUUGUAGAGGGGAGUAGAAUUCCAGGUGUAGCGGUGAAAUGCGUAGAGAUCUGGAGGAAUACCGGUGGCGAAGGCGGCCCCCUGGACAAAGACUGACGCUCAGGUGCGAAAGCGUGGGGAGCAAACAGGAUUAGAUACCCGAGUAGUC